UACGUAGGGCGCAAGCGUUGUCCGGAAUUAUUGGGCGUAAAGAGCUCGUAGGCGGCUUGUCGCGUCGGAUGUGAAAGCCCGGGGCUUAACCCCGGGUCUGCAUUCGAUACGGGCAGGCUAGAGUUCGGUAGGGGAGAUCGGAAUUCCUGGUGUAGCGGUGAAAUGACGCAGAUAUCAGGAGGAACACCGGUGGCGAAGGCGGAUCUCUGGGCCGAUACUGACGCUGAGGAGCGAAAGCGUGGGGAGCGAACAGG
rnacentral:rRNA from 1 species